GUCCCUUAAAACAAAAGUGGGGAAGGAUCUUAGCUGCCUAAGUUAUUGGACCACAAAGUUUCACUCAUUUUUUCUUCAUGUAUUAAGAUGAUAAGGUCAUUCACGUUAGCCGUCGGGGCCACGAAGCCAGAAAUACAUAUAUAAGGGAAUGGUCCAAACUUGAAUGUAUUAGGGAAUCCUAUUAUAGAUAGGAUUACCUAUUGAUAAGUCGUAUUUGUGUUAAAGAUAAACAUAAGUCUUAGAGAUAAACUCUCGUAGGAAUAGGAUUAAUGUCGGUCAUUGCUCAUGUAUAUAAGUCGUUGUAUGAUGUUCUAGUAAACACAAGUUAACAGUUUACAAUUCA